rnacentral:rRNA from 1 species
UACGUAGGGUGCGAGCGUUGUCCGGAAUUAUUGGGCGUAAAGAGCUUGUAGGCGGUUUGUCGCGUCUGCCGUGAAAAUCCGGGGCUCAACCCCGGGCUUGCGGUGGGUACGGGCAGACUAGAGUGUGGUAGGGGAGACUGGAAUUCCUGGUGUAGCGGUGAAAUGCGCAGAUAUCAGGAGGAACACCGAUGGCGAAGGCAGGUCUCUGGGCCGCUACUGACGCUGAGAAGCGAAAGCGUGGGGAGCGAACAGG